UACAGAGGGUGCGAGCGUUAAUCGGAAUUACUGGGCGUAAAGCGUGCGUAGACGGUUAUUUAAGUCGGGUGUGAAAGCCCCGGGCUCAACCUGGGAAUUGCAUUCGAGACUGAAUAGCUAGGGUACGGUAGAGGGAUGUGGAAUUCCAGGUGUAGCGGUGAAAUGCGUAGAUAUCUGGAGGAACAUCGAUGGCGAAGGCGGCAUCCUGGACCGGUAUUGACGCUGAGGCGCGAAAGCCAGGGGAGCGAACGGG
rnacentral:rRNA from 1 species